rnacentral:rRNA from 1 species
GAUGAACGCUGGCGGCGUGCCUAAUACAUGCAAGUCGAGCGAACAGACGAGGAGCUUGCUCCUCUGACGUUAGCGGCGGACGGGUGAGUAACACGUGGAUAACCUACCUAUAAGACUGGGAUAACUUCGGGAAACCGGAGCUAAUACCGGAUAAUAUAUUGAACCGCAUGGUUCAAUAGUGAAAGACGGUUUUGCUGUCACUUAUAGAGGGAUCCGCGCCGCAUUAGCUAGUGGGUAAGGUAAGGGCUUACCAAGGCGACGAUGCGUAGCCGACCUGAGAGGGUGAUCGGCCCCACUGGACCUGAGCCCCGGUCCAGACUCCUACGGGAGGCAGCAGUAGGGAAUCUUCCGCAAUGGGCGAAAGCCUGACGGAGCACCGCCGCGUGAGUGAUGAAGGUCUUCGGAUCGUAAAACUCUGUUAUUAGGGAAGAACAAAUGUGUAAGUAACUAUGCACGUCUUGACGGUACCUAAUCAGAAAGCCACGGCUAACUACGUG